rnacentral:lncRNA from 1 species
UUGUUGACAAAUAUUUUUCCAUAUUCUCUCUUAUUUGUGUAUGUUGUUGUUAUGUUGAUGUUAUUGUUAUAUAUGUUGAUAAAUUUUUGUUGGAUUACAAUGUACUCCCAGUUUAUGUUAACAUGCUGUUUUUUUCAUGGUGUCGAUUUCAUUCUCCUUUCAUUUUACAGGUAUACAUACUAUGGGUGUAGUUCACAUGAUGGUUUGUCUUAAUUUUCUAUGAAUUUUUUAAAUUAAAGGUAUGUAUGUUGUUGAUGUUUUUUUGUGUUGUUUGU